GGGCUUAGUUGUGGCCUUGUCUGAUUGGG
rnacentral:piRNA from 1 species